rnacentral:lncRNA from 1 species
UCCUCUGAACUUCUACUGCGAGCGGUCUGCUCUGAACUUCUACUGCGAGCGGUCUACUCCGAACUCCUACAGUGAGCGAUCUACUCCGAACUCCUACAGCGGGUGGUCUACUCUGGAUCUCUAUUGUGAGCAAAUUCUAUUCGAGCUCUUACUGUAAACACAUCUCUUCCGAACUUUCAUUACAGGUAGACUUCAGCCGAGCUUCUUCAUAGCCGGAUCCCAGACGAGCUUCUAUAGCGGGACAGGACCCAUCGGCCAGAUAGCUACUCCUA